rnacentral:rRNA from 1 species
GUGCCAGCAGCCGCGGUAAUACGGGGGGAGCAAGCGUUGUUCGGAUUUACUGGGCGUAAAGGGCGCGUAGGCGGCCGAACAAGUCACUUGUGAAAUCUCCGGGCUUAACUCGGAAAGGUCAAGUGAUACUGUUUGGCUAGAGUGCGGAAGGGGCAACUGGAAUUCUCGGUGUAGCGGUGAAAUGCGUAGAUAUCGAGAGGAACACCUGCGGCGAAGGCGGGUUGCUGGGCCGACACUGACGCUGAAGCGCGAAAGCUAGGGGAGCGAACGGGAUUAGAUACCCCAGUAGUCC